AUGUUUAACUUCAGUUAAGUCGUUGUAAAAGGUUGAUGUUGAUUAAUUUAAGUUUGUAAGGAUUUGAUAUAGAUUUAAUAGGUUGGAUAUAGGAUUGAGGUUGGUAUAAGCACAGUAGUUAUUCACAGUGUGACAGUUGACAGUGGAGUGGAGUGUUUUGUCAGGGUACUUGUUUUACAAACAAGAUCCAGACAGUACAGUAUUAUAUGGUAUUGUACAGUGGUAUACAGACUUGUCUAUAAAUAUUUGUAUAUGUCUUUGAGUGGACCCACUGGUAAAUAAAGCAGAAUAUAUGUGAACCAAUCCAAGACUUGGUUUUAUGUAAAACCCCAAUCUGCUAGA